UACGUAGGCAGCAAGCGUUGUUCGGAGUUACUGGGCGUAAAGGGCGCGUAGGCGGCUUUUUAAGUUUGGUGUGAAAUCUCCUGGCUUAACCGGGAGGGUGCGCCGAAUACUGAGAAGCUAGAGUAUGGGAGAGGAAAGUGGAAUUCCUGGUGUAGCGGUGAAAUGCGUAGAUAUCAGGAGGAACACCUGUGGGGUAGACGGCUGUCUGGACCAUAACUGACGCUGAGGCACGAAAGCGUGGGUAGCAAACAGG
rnacentral:rRNA from 1 species